rnacentral:rRNA from 1 species
CUCCUAGACUCCUACGGGAGGCAGCAGUGGGGAAUAUUGCACAAUGGGCGCAAGCCUGAUGCAGCCAUGCCGCGUGUGUGAAGAAGGCCUUCGGGUUGUAAAGCACUUUCAGCAGUGAGGAAGGCGGAGUCGUUAAUAGCGGCCUCGUUUGACGUUAGCUGCAGAAGAAGCACCGGCUAACUCCGUGCCAGCAGCCGCGGUAAUACGGAGGGUGCGAGCGUUAAUCGGAAUUACUGGGCGUAAAGCGCAUGCAGGUGGUUUGUUAAGUCAGAUGUGAAAGCCCGGGGCUCAACCUCGGAAUAGCAUUUGAAACUGGCAGACUAGAGUACUGUAGAGGGGGUAGAAUUUCAGGUGUAGCGGUGAAAUGCGUAGAGAUCUGAAGGAAUACCGGUGGCGAAGGCGGCCCCCUGGACAGAUACUGACACUCAGAUGCGAAAGCGUGGGGAGCAAACAGGAUUAGAUACCCUGGUAG